rnacentral:misc_RNA from 1 species
UGAAAUACCCCACAGAACGGAAGAAAAACCAAAGGAGUAGCAAGGAGAACGUAGGACAUCCCUCCACCGCCUUCUUCCCUCCCCGCUUGACCAUCAAGUCUCAACCCCACACCACCCCACGUGCCCUCUACCCCACUCCCAGUCACACGUGUGACCCCUCUUCCACCAGCGUGUAGACAUAGAGGGAAUAGAACGAUGAACCCGUCUGCCGCUGCAUACAUACCACAGAAAAGCGACGCGAAAGGGGAGCCAAAGUCGUCCUCGGCGGCUGCGGUCGUCAAGCCGCCGUCGACGCAGCUGGUGACCAAGCUGAGCGCAGCCGCAGAGCCGUUCGUGCCAGGCGGCCCGAAGCAGGCGUCUGCGACAUCGACGCACGUUGACCCCAAGGCGACCACCGAGGACGGAAAGACGACUGCGCCGCCGCUGAUGGAGCGCCCGGCCAGUUCGCUGCCCGACUCUGCCGCUGCUGCGGGCGCUGCCAAGAAGGAGACAGAUGAGAACGAUGACUCGCAGCUGGACUGGCUGCCAGAGGCACAGCCGACGGAUUGGUCGGAGAGCAAACUGCCGAAGCUGUUCGGCUGCCACAACACAGCUGCCAAGGCGACCUCGAGCGCCAUCCCGCUGCACGCCUCGUGGGACCUCUACGCCGACGACCACCAAGGUAGCAGCAACAUGGCGUCUAAUAGCUCCCCCACCAGCACCAUGUCCUUCGAGCCCAUUUUUGUCUCCAACGUCGGCGACGUGGAGAGCUUCUGGCGACUAUGGCGGUAUCUGCCGGCGCCUUCGGCGCUUCCGACCGUUUACACGUACUCGUGGUUCCGCAGGGAUAUCAAGCCCGAGUGGGAGCACCCGCGCAACAAGAAGGGUGGCACCAUCAGCAUCGUUGUCUUCGACCGCGACCGCUCCGGCUUGAGCGACAAGCAAGUUCUCGAUGACGUCUUCAUGGCUAUGCUCGUCGGCGCUGUCGGCGAGAGCUUUCAUGAGUGCAGCACGACGCUGAAUGGUAUUAUGCUAAAGGUGCGAUCCAACAAACCCGUAACGCUGCAGCUCUGGACGGCGCACUCGGAGGUGGGCAAACUGAAGGCCUUUGCAAAUAGCGUGCGUGACACGCUCAGCAAGAUUAUGGGCGCCAAGACGCUGCAGAAGCUGGAGUACUACUCCCACCAUCAAAAGCAGGCCGCCACGAAUAGUCUUGCCGCCCGCAUGAAGGGCAAGACGAAGAUCUCGCCCGAUCACACGUUCUAGUCUAAGGAGGCGCGAACGACAUAAGGAGACGAAGAAAGAAGGAUCACGAGAAGGGUGGUGGUGGUGGUGGUGGAUGAUAGUGAGGCGAGCGGGAGAGUGUGUGUGGGCGUGCGUGGGGUGGCCUAGCAGGAGUAUAUGUAUCUGAGUGCAUGUUUUUUUUUUGUGUGUGUUUUCGCACCGGGGAAGACUGCCAGAGUCGCUCUUCUGGCGGGAAGGAGGCGAUAAAAGGCUCACCAUGGCCACUCUCCCCAUCUCAUCUCGCUGUCUGCCUGUCUGUGCCUUCCUCCCUCCAUCGCACACAUGGCGCUUGCCGCGUUUGCUUUGCUCUCCUCCCCUCCCUUCUAUAUCCGUGUGCCUGCCUGCCUGUCCGUGUCUGUCCGUCUGUCUCUCCCUCCCCAUUUCUUCUCCUCCUUUUUUGAGCAGCCCUGUAGUUGCAUGGCGGGGCUGCGCGCGUUUUGCACGCGUGCCGCGAUUGAGCUUGUCGUCGUAGCGGGUCCUCUCCCUCUUAGGGAAGCGGUUCGGAGCGGUGUCGUAGAGGCGUGCGUAUCUUGUUCUCCUUGCUUGCUUCUGCGCUGCUGGAUGCACAGAUAUCGAGACGCGUGCAUGCGCGCCUAGGCGAAGAGUUGAUUCAAAAACCUUGGGUGAAAAAAAAAACAAAAGUGCCUCUAAAAAAAACCGGGCAAAGGCACGCUACAUCUCCCCCUCCUCCCCCCAGAAACACACACACACACACACCCAGGCACACACAGCUCAGGAGCUGAAGGAAGUAGGCAUGCACCGCAUCGUCGUUGUCCGCUCUUCCCUCCCUUCAACUCAGUGGGGGAUGGCUGUGUGGUGCGUCGUGGCGUGUGCGUGCCUGUUGCUUGUGACAGAAAGAAAGAACAAAGAGAGCGGGUGCUGCGUUCUGUUUAGUGACACGAGAGGAACAUGUGGGGGGGGGGACAUCGGCAUGACGCCCGGAGAGGGAGAGAUGGCACAUGAGAAGAGUCUGAAAGGAAAGCAAGCAAGGUGGGGUAUCUACAUGUGUGUAUGUAUGUGUUUAUAUUUGUGGAAGAAAUGCCCCGCUAGACCCCCCCCCCCCCCCCCCCCCCACCACCACCACCACCACCACACACCUCGACCUGCCGCACUCUCUACCGAACUGAAGGAGUGUGCAGCUCUCUCCCAUCUUCCAUCUACCAUCUCUUUCCUUUACUCGCACCAUCCGGCAUUCGACUUGUUCGGCGAGCCACGGCGACGAUGAGUGAGGAGCUGGGAGAGGGGUGGCGUGGAAGGGGGAGGGCCCGGAGAGUCGUGGGACAAGGGAACACAAUCAAGCAGGAAAAGGGUGCUGAGCGACAGAUGCUUGUGGGCCACGAAAGUCGGGUGAACUGCACCGCAGACACAGACGCACGGAUGCAUGCAUUGGCUAACCACGCGCAUGUACAGGCGUAUAUGCACGCAUGCAUUUUCCUUGUUUUUCUCCCUGGCGCUGUUACGCAGCGCGCUGUCUGUCUGUCUCCGUGUUGACCUUUUCGUCUUCCUUGGGCGCUUUCUCUACCUUUUUCGUGUGGGCCCUCAUCGCAUUGUGGCGCUCUUGUGUCUGUGUCUGCCGGUCACCCCCCCCCCCCCCCCCCACACUCUCCCCUCCCGCCGGCCUCCGUCUCGCGAACUCGUCGCGGCUGUAGACGACGCAUCAUCUUGCUCAGCCCUUUCCAGGCCUUGCUUCCCUUGUAUGUGUUAUUUAUUAUUAUAUGUAUUACGAUGAUGAUGAUCGAUAAGACGCACAGCAUCAGAGAAGUGUUCUUCGCUCUCCCCCACGUCGUGUGUUCAUCGGACUCAAGCUUCUCCUCGUGCCUGUAAAUUGAUGCUUGUUCCUGUUGUGGCUGCUGCUGCUGUUGUUAUUGCGGUUGCUGUCUUUACGAGCGCGUGCGUGUGUAUGUGCCUGCGUCUGUGUGUGUGCGCUGCCGGGUGCACGAUAUCGGGCGAUUCGAGCGUUGCUUGUCCUCACACGCCUGCGAUUUCGCCCAGUCGUUUUUCCCUCUUCCUCUCCCUCUCCUUCUCAGUGUGUUCAGCCUCCGCCAUCUCGGCAUGUGUCUCUAUGUCAUUUCUUUGUGUGCUUAUCUUCCUUUAGUGUGUCCGUUGCGUGUGUGUGUGUGGAAGGGGGGAGGGGAGAGAGGGGAGGGAAGACCACACCACGUGUGAGUGCCGGCGUCCCUUUCUCUUCACAUUCUCUGCGUGCCUGUCUCUUUCGGUUGCCUUCUCUCUCGGGGCAUUAUAUACAUAUAUAUAUAUAUGUGUGUAUACAUACGCACAUGUGCUUGGAUGUGUCGAUGCGUGUGCCGGUCUUGCCUUUCCGACUUGAACAG